GCUCUUGUAGCUCAGUUGGUUAGAGCACCCGUUUAGUAAGCGGUAGGUCUUGAGUUCGACUCUCAACAAGAGCA
rnacentral:tRNA from 1 species